ensembl:rRNA 5S_rRNA 5S ribosomal RNA
GCUUACGGCCAUACCACCCUGAGCACGCCCGACCUCGUCUGAUCUCGGAAGCUAAGUAGGAAUGGGCUUGGUUAGUACUUGGAUGGGGGAAUACCUGGUGCUGUAAGCC